CCUGGAGGAAACUGCUCGCCAAGUUGUGCCAGCAAAGCCCAACAAAAGUGGAAGAGCAAAGAAAACCGCACAGCAAUUUCAAUGGCCCCCGAGCAGCAACCCCUGCCCAGGGUUUUUCCUUGGCCUUGAAGUCGCACUGAGCCCCGAGGAGCAGCCAAGCUGGGCAGACAGGCGGCCGCCUCUCCCGUGCAUGGAAAACCCCAGGACACCUGCAUCACACAGGGCUUCCCGGGACAGAAUCGGCCUCAGCACCUGGGCACUUUAUCAAAGGAUAAAUUUGACAUUUUUCUUACAAAACUUGAAGUGAGAUUUAUUUUUUCCCUCUCGACGUGAUCAAAAAAAUCCCCAACAGAAACACGGGAAGCCAACUAGGAAACUGCUCAAAUUUCAGCCACAGCUGAUGAGAACCUGGGACCGUGAAACGAUGACUCAAGGCUGAACCUGCAGGAAGGACAGUGCCCUGGUGACAGUCACACGUGGGAACUGAGGCGGUCACGCGGGAGGAUAGAGGACGCAGGUCAUCAGCCCCCUUCGGAGGAAGGUUCCUGUCUGCCCGUAUGAUGCAACAUGGAGACCUGAGACUCAGGACACCCAGAACCCAGGCUUCUCCCUACACCAACUGCUGACGAUUCCUCAUGAACUUGUGCUGAAAGAGACUUACCCACAGGAAGCCGCGCGCCAUGGAGAGCGAAUCUCGUUGGCUUUCAUUAUUUAGGUAAGGCUCGGGGUUAUAAGCAGCACAUUCGAUCUAAAGUGGAGGAAAUCAAGCGUGUGUCAAGUGGGACUCGGAGGCUUCAAGACAUCAUUUUUUUCUUUUUCUGUGCUGCACAUAGUCUCUGUAGUUGAAGUAUUACUCUGAAUUUUAAGUACAUAAAAUCACUAAUUAUGUAUCUGUAUCAGUUUACAACAGUAAAA
ensembl:lncRNA